rnacentral:lncRNA from 1 species
CAUAAAUACACACGGAGAAGAACCACAUUAUGGACAUCCAAAAGCAAGAUCCUGAAUUUGUUGUAUUUUGUGUAUCUUUGGCUUGGAGGGAAAGAAUUAUGAGAAUUUGCCAUUAUUAGAUAAUCAAAGCAUUUUGGUAUCAGUGGCUUUCUGCUGAAAAAUGUGACUGACUCUUAUUGAAGGCAUUUCACUGUUAGACCGAGAGAACUGUCAGUAUAGAUAAAAUGCAUUCUGUAUUACUCUUGAUUGGAGUGAUAUUUGAAAAUGAGUAUAAGCAGUAUUUGUAACCACAGGAACUAGUCAUAAGCCUU